rnacentral:rRNA from 1 species
GUGGAACCACCUGACACCAUACCGAACUCAGAAGUGAAACGCUGUAAUGCCGAUGGUAGUGUGGGGCUUCCCCAUGUGAGAGUAGGGCACCGCCAGGU